CGGGGCGUAGCUCAGCCUGGUAGAGCGCCCGCUUUGGGAGCGGGAGGUCGUGGGUUCAGAUCCCGCCGCCCCGA
rnacentral:tRNA from 1 species